rnacentral:rRNA from 1 species
AUACGGAGGGUGCAAGCGUUGUUCGGAAUUACUGGGCGUAAAGCGCGCGUAGGUGGUCUGUUAUGUCAGAUGUGAAAGUCCACGGCUCAACCGUGGAAGUGCAUUUGAAACUGGCAGACUUGAGUACUGGAGGGGGUAGUGGAAUUCCCGGUGUAGAGGUGAAAUUCGUAGAUAUCGGGAGGAAUACCGGUGGCGAAGGCGACUACCUGGCCAGAUACUGACACUGAGGUGCGAAAGCGUGGGGAGCAAACAGGAUUAGAAACCCGAGUAGUCC